CGCCUCCUAAAAGGUAACGGAGGCGCUCAAAGGUUCCCUCAGAAUGGUUGGAAAUCAUUCAUAGAGUGUAAAGGCAUAAGGGAGCUUGACUGCGAGACCUACAAGUCGAGCAGGGUCGAAAGACGGACUUAGUGAUCCGGUGGUUCCGCAUGGAAGGGCCAUCGCUCAACGGAUAAAAGCUACCCCGGGGAUAACAGGCUUAUCUCCCCCAAGAGUUCACAUCGACGGGGAGGUUUGGCACCUCGAUGUCGGCUCAUCGCAUCCUGGGGCUGUAGUCGGUCCCAAGGGUUGGGCUGUUCGCCCAUUAAAGCGGUACGCGAGCUGGGUUCAGAACGUCGUGAGACAGUUCGGUCCCUAUCCGUCGUGGGCGUAGGAAAUUUGAGAGGAGCUGUCCUUA
rnacentral:rRNA from 1 species